rnacentral:rRNA from 1 species
GGUUAAAAAGCUCGUAGUUGGAUCUUGGAAUGUGUUCAAGCGGGUCAGCUUCUGGCUGUGCGCUGCUUGACGUGUUCUUCUAUUUGGUUUUGGUGCGGUGCGCUUAACUGCGUGUCGCUCCCGGCCGAAACGUUUACCUUGAAAAAACUAGAGUGUUCAAAGCAGACCUGUCUGAGUCUGAAUAUUCGUGCAUGGAAUAAUGAAAUAUGAAUUCGGUUCUAUUUUGUUGGUUUUCGGAACUCGAGUUAAUGAUCAAGAGGGACAGACGGGGGCAUUCGUACUCUGCCGUUAGAGGUGAAAUUCUUGGAUCGGCGGAAGACGCGCAACUGCGAAAGCAUUUGCCAAGAAUGUUUUCUUUAAUCAAGAACGAUAGUCGGAGGUUCGAAGACGAUCAGAUACCGUCCUAGUUUCGACUGUAAACUAUGCCAGCUAACGAUCAGACAGAGUUCUCUACGACUUGUCUGGCAGUUUCCGGGAAACCAAAGCGUUUGGGUUCCGGGGGAAGUAUGGUUGCAAAGCUGAAACUUAAAGGAAUUGACGGAAGGGCACCACCAGGAGUGGAGCCUGCGGCUUAAUUUGACUCAACACGGGGAAACUCACCC